GUGUCAGCAGCCGCGGUAAUACGGAGGGUGCGAGCGUUGUUCGGAUUUAUUGGGCGUAAAGCGCGUGUAGGCGGUCUUUUAAGUCUGAUGUGAAAGCCCCGGGCUCAACCUGGGAAGUGCAUUGGAUACUGGGAGACUUGAGUACGGGAGAGGGUAGUGGAAUUCCCAGUGUAGGAGUGAAAUCCGUAGAUAUUGGGAGGAACACCGGUGGCGAAGGCGGCUACCUGGACCGAUACUGACGCUGAGACGCGAAAGCGUGGGGAGCAAACAGGAUUAGAAACCCCUGUAGUCC
rnacentral:rRNA from 1 species